CUGCAUUCCAAAUAGAAACGUCUUAAGUAGUUAACAAAAUGUCAGCACAACAAUUGCUGGUCUUAACAAUAUUCCUUUUUAUGUUUGUGAAAUGUUUGUGGGCACAGGAAGGAGACCCUCCCAUAUACGAACUAAGAAAUAAAACACUCUGCAUUGAUGAGGUGCUGGGCUAUGUGAUGUGUUACCGAUGAGCUUAUUCGAUAAAAACCCUAAUUAUUUUGUAAAAACAAAAGCGAAAUGAAUGAAAUAAAAAAAAAAUGAAUAACA